rnacentral:lncRNA from 1 species
UGGGAAAAGUGUCACUAGGCAACCGCGUCGGCGUCUGCUUUUAACCUGUGGGAGAACCCGGCGAGCUAAGCCAAACGGAGGGCGGGAGAGAGGAAGCGGCAGCUGGCGCCUCUCGGCAACUCUAACCCUCUGAUAGAGAUCGCCAAGAUUGGUAUCCAUAGAGCUUGCUGUGGUUUGAAUGUAUCCCCCAAAGUUCAUGUGUUGGAAACUAUUCUUAAUGCAAAAGUGUUAAGAGGUUCCCAUAGAAGAAAUGGUUUCCAGAAUGCAGAAGUGGUCCAUGAUGCCAGAUGUUGCAGAAAGAGCAAAUAAGGGGAUAGAACAGAAAGACAUAAGCACCGGCA